GACGAACGCUGGCGGCGUGCUUAACACAUGCAAGUCGAACGGAAAGGCCUGCUUUCCCUUGUGGAUUGCGGGUACUCGAGCGGCGAACGGGUGAGUAACACGUGAGUGAUCUGCCCCCAACUUGGGUAUAAGCCUGGGAAACUGGGUCUAAUUCCCGAUAGGACUGCAGGGUGGUGCCUGUGGUGGAAAACGAUUUUCUAGUGGUUGGGGAUGAGCUCGCGGCCUAUCAGCCUGUUGGUGGGGUAAUGGCCUACCAAGGCGGCGACGGGGAGCCGGCCUGAGAGGGGGGACGGCCACAUUGGGACUGAGAUACGGCCCAGACGCCUGCGGGAGGCAGCAGUGGGGAAUAUUGCACAAUGGGCGGAAGCCUGAUGCAGCGACGCCGCGUGGGGGAUGACGGCCUUCGGGUGGUAAACUCCUUUCGACCGCGAGGAAGCCACCUGGUUGGAAGGGUGGUGACGGUAGUGGUAGAAGAAGCACCGGCUAACUACGUG
rnacentral:rRNA from 1 species